rnacentral:pre_miRNA from 1 species
UGACUUUUUUCUUAGUCAAACUUCUUUAAAUUUGACCAAAUUUAUAGAAAAGUAUGUUAACAUUUUCAAUACAAAACAAAUAUAUUAUCAAAAUAUAUUCGAUGCUAAAUUUAAUGAAACUAGUUUGGUGUUGUAAAUGUUGCUGUUUUUUUCUUAUAAACUUGGUCAAACCUAAAGAAGUUUGACUAAGAAAAAAGUCGA